rnacentral:rRNA from 1 species
CAGUCGCCGCGGUAAGACAGAGGGUGUAAGCGUUAUCCAGAAUGAUUGGGCGUAAAGCAUCUGUAGGUGGCUUUUCAAGUCCGCCAUCAAAUCCCCGGGCUCAACCCUCGACAGGCAGUGGAAAAUACCAAGCUGGAGUACGGUAGGGGCAGAGGGGGGUGGAAUUCCACGUGUAGCAGUGAAAUGCGUAGAGAUGUGGAGGAACACCGAUGGCGAAGGCAGCCCCCUGGGCCAAUACUGACGCUCAUGCACGAAAGCGUGGGGAGCAAACAGGAUUAGAUACCCCCGUAGUCCCUGUCUU